UGGGGCGAUUUUGUGUGGGGCGAUUUGCCAGUGGGGCGAUUUGACAAACCGUGCAAACAACGUUUCUUGGUUAUUUUCUUUUCAACAAUUUCAGCAUGGUAGAGGAAGUUCAGAAACACUCAGUCCAUACACUUGUGUUCAGAUCAUUGAAAAGAACCCAUGACAUGUUUAUAACAGAUCAAGGAAUUCCACCAGCUAAAGAUGACAAGGGCGAAAUACUGAAAAGAAGAGUAAAGAUCAUUGAUGAAUACAAAAUGGUUAAAGAUUUACCAAAAGAGGGUCAAAGAAAACAACAGCAACAAAGUGUUAUCAAACCGUAUGAAACAAAUCAAUGGCAACAGAACCAAGAGACCUCAAUACAAGGUACCCACCCAUACCCAAGUGGACCUGGUGUUCAGUUAACAGAUGGAACAGCAAUGCAAACAGAUCCAAGUUAUAAUGCAAGUGUAGAAAUGGCAUUGUAUGAACAAAAUAGACAAAUAGAGACACAAUUAGGAUCUGGUGUACAGGAUAUUAGAGGUUCAGAUAGAUCUGAUCAAUCAAAGGCUCUAGUCACAAUAGGUCAACAGCAAGCAUUGGUGCCAAAGAAAGCACAGACCAUGCCAAAACCUGUGUGGCAUCCUCCAUGGAAAUUAUUCAGAGUUAUAAGUGGACAUUUAGGAUGGGUAAGAUGUAUAGCAGUAGAACCUGGUAACCAGUGGUUUGCAACAGGAGCUAAUGAUAGAAUGAUUAAGAUAUGGGAUUUAGCAUCAGGAACUUUAAAACUUUCACUAACUGGCCAUAUCAGUGCUGUUAGAGGUGUAGUAGUAAGUCCACGACAGCCAUAUUUGUUUUCUUGUGGAGAAGAUAAACAAGUGAAAUGCUGGGAUCUUGAAUAUAACAAGACUAUCAAACAUUACCAUGGACACUUGAGUGCAGUGUAUGCGAUUGACCUUCACCCUACAAUAGAUGUGUUAUUGACAUGUGGUCGGGAUGGUACAGCAAGAGUUUGGGAUAUGAGAACAAAAGCAUGUAUACACACGUUAACAGGACAUAAUAAUACUGUUGCUGAUAUCAGAUGUCAGGCUGCUGAACCUCAGGUGAUAACAGGAAGUCAUGACUCUACAAUAAGAUUGUGGGAUUUAGCAGCAGGGAAAUCACGAGUCACUCUCACUAAUCAUAAAAAGAGUGUUAGAGCUCUCACACUUCAUCCAAAACAUUACACAUUUGCUUCAGCCUCCGCAGAUAACAUUAAAGAGUGGAAGUUUCCUGAUGGCAACUUUAUUCAGAAUCUCCCAGGACACAAUGCAAUCAUUAAUGCUUUGACAGUCAAUUCUGAUGGUGUUCUAGUGUCUGGAGCUGAUAAUGGCUCCAUGCACUUUUGGGAUUGGAAGACAGGUUAUAAUUUCCAGAGACUACAAGCAUUAGCACAGCCAGGAUCUAUUGAUUCAGAAGCUGGAAUCUUUGCUUUACAGUAUGACCAGAGUGGAAGUCGUCUUAUCACAGCUGAAGCUGACAAAACUGUCAAAAUAUACAAAGAAGAUGACUCAGCGACUGAAGAGACCCAUCCAAUCAAUUGGCGACCAGAUAUUAUUAAGAAAAAGAAAUAUUAGUGCAUACAUUUAAUGUAAAAGACAUAAAAUAAACAGCAACAAAAUAGAUAUCUCAGAAAUGGUCUUGUAACAAAUGAAAAUAUGAACAUUUGAAACAUAGAUAUACUGACUAACAAUGAGUUUUUUUUAUGUUGGAGGAACUAUUCUUUGAAACCAGAAAGUGUCAGGAUUCAAGACAUAAUUUUAUGAAGUAAAAUGAGAAUUAUUCAAAAAGUGUAUUUUUACUUUCAACAUUUGUAAACCAUGCAUGGUAGUUUUUAUACGACCGCAAAAAAUUUUGCGGUCGUAUAUUGGUAUGACGUUGGCGUCUUCGUCGUCGUCAUCGUCCGAAGACACAUUGGUUUUCGCACUCUAACUUUAGUUUAAGUGAAUGAAUCUCUAUGAAAUUUUACCAUAAGGUUCAAUACCACAAAAGGAAUGCUGGGAUUGAUUUUGGGGGUUAUGGUACCAACUGUUAAGGAAUUCGGGGCCAAAAAGGGGCCAAAAAUAAGCAUUUUUGUAACUUCCAGACAUAACUUCUGUGUUAGUGUAUGGAUCUCUCUGACAUUGUACCACAAGGUUCCAUAUCACACAGGGAAUGCUGGGAUUGAUUUUGGGGGUAAUUGCCUCUAAAUAUAAUGAAUUAGGGGCCAAAAAAAGACCAAAAAAACAAGCAUUUUUCUAGUUUCAUGACAAUAACUUGUGUGUAAGUGUAUGGAUCUUUAUGAAAUUGUACUACAAGGUUCCAUAUCACAAAGGGAAAGCUGGAAUUGAGUUUGGGGGUAAUUGCCCAAAAUGUUUAGGAAUAAGGGGCCAAAAAGGGGCCAAAAAUAAGCAUUUUUCUAGUUUCCAAACAAUUACUUGUGUUCAAGUGUAUGGAUCUUUCUGAAAUUGUACUGCAAGGUACCAUUCCACAAAGGGAAGGCUGGGAUUGAUUUUGGGGGUAAUUGCCUCAAAAUAUUAGGAAUUAGGGGCCAAAAAAGGGGCAAAAAACAAGCAUUUUUCUAGUUUCAUGACAAUAACUUGUGUGUAAGUGUAUGGAUCUUUCUGAAAUUGUACUACAAGGUUCCAUAUCACAAAGGGAAAGCUGGAAUUGAAUUUGGGGGUAAUUGUCCAAAACGUUUAGGAAAAAGGGGCCAAAAAGGGACCAAAAAUAAGCAUUUUUCUAGUUUCCAGACAAUAACUGUGUUCAAGUAUAUGGAUCUCUCUGAAAUUGUACUGCAAGGUACCAUACAACAAAGGGAAGGCUGGGAUUGAUUUUGGGGGUAAUUGCCUCAAAAUAUUAGGAAUUAGGGGCCAAAAAAGGGGCAAAAAACAAGCAUUUUUCUAGUUUCAUGACAAUAACUUGUGUGUAAGUGUAUGGAUCUUUCUGAAAUUGUACUACAAGGUUCCAUAUCACAAAGGGAAAGCUGGAAUUGAGUUUGGGGGUAAUUGCCCAAAACGUUUAGGAAUAGGCCAAAAGGGGGCCAAAAAUAAGCAUUUUUCUAGUUUCCAGACAAUAACUUGUGUUCAAGUUUAUGGAUCUCUCUGAAAUUGUACUGCAAGGUACCAUACCACAAAGGGAAGGCGGGGAUUGAAUUUGGGGGUAAUUGCUCCAACAUUUUAGGAAUUAGGGGCCAAAAAGGGAUAAAAAAAAACAAGCAUUUUUCUAGUUUCAGGACAAUAACUUGUGUGUAAGUGUAUGGAUCUUUAUGAAAUUGUACAACAAGGUUCCAUAUCACAAAGGAAAAAUUGGGUUUGAGUUUAGGGGUAAUUGUCUUAAACGUUUAGAAAUUUGGGGCCAAAAAGGGGCAAAAAAAACAAGCAUUUUUCUAGUUUCCAGACAAUAACUUGUGUUCAAGUGUACGGAUCUCUCUGAAAUUGUACUGCAAGGCACCAUACAUUGUAACACAAAGGGAAGGCUGGGAUUGAGUUUGGGGGUGAUGAAUCAUAAGGGGGUUCAAAAAAUUUAAGGGGGGAUUUUUUUCCCCUUUUUUUUCUUUAAAUUUUUCCAAUUUUAAUUGGUUAUUUCUGAUUUAUAUAUAAAAGCAAAUAUUAAUGAUAUGGUUUGAAUAGGUAAAUUAAAUUUUUUUAAGUUCUUAGACCACAUUCAUUCUGUGUCAGAAACCUAUGCUGUGUCAAAUAUUUAAUCACAAUCCAAAUUUAAGUGCUGUAUAAAGCUUGAAUGUUGUGUCCAUACUUGCCCCAACUUUUCAGGGUUCGACCUCUGCGGUCGAAUCAAGCUGCGCCCAGCGGAGCAUUUUAUUGAAAAAUUAUUUUUUGCAGUGCCCCCGAUAUACGGUCCGAAAGUGUUUAAGAAAAACAAGACUUUAAAAGAAGGAUGCAUAUUAACAGAUAAUAUAAUCUGGGACUAUUAUACUUAGUAUUAUAGUCCCAGAUAUAAUACAUGUAUGAUAUGGCUCUGAUAUUAACUAUAACGUGUUCUUGAAAAAAAUUAAGUGUCUGAGAAUUUGAAUUACCUAAUAAGGGCAUCUCGAUCACUUUCGACAAAAUAUUAUUGCAUGAAUGGUAAAUCGCUGAUUUUUAAUUCUAGAAGUGGUUUGUGACUGUUAUAAUAGAGACAUUUAUACGCAUUCUGGUUUAAGUUUACAAUGAACACACUAUACAUUUUUCUUUGAAAUAUCAAUCAUUUUUGGGCCGACUUGCUUUUUCUUUUAUUCGUAAAAAUUAUCAUACGUUUCAUUAUAUUUGAAUGCUUCAAAAAUGCUUCAAAAUACUAUAAGCCUGUAUUGUUGUUAUGUUUACGGGUCAAUGACUCCCUCCCCCCCCC